rnacentral:lncRNA from 1 species
GAAAGAGUUGUGAGCUGUCCAUGCUCUUCUGAAACUUGGCUGAGAUGGUCUGGAAUGGAAUCCCAAGGCUCCUAAAACAAGAUUUUGCCUAUAGAUGGGUGCAGAAGAAUUCCUGCUGUUAUGGAAGGAUAUGAGUAGUGAAAAAAGUGUAUAAAAUAGAAGAGAAAUUUGUUUAAAAGCAAGUGUCAUCACUGAGAAAAUGUGCUGCACAUCUAAUUGGAAGGAGAAUUAAGAGAGAAAACAUCACAGGAAAUGAAGGCAUGAAGUUAAGUGAACACACGGUAGUUUCAUGAGCACUGGGGUGUGGGGCCUAGGUGAAAGGAAGAGGUUGGAGAGGGAAGAUAUCAAGUUUGUCAUGGAUAUGCUGACAAAGGGUUGUGUGAUACGCCUACACUCAAGCACUAUAAAAAAUAAAAUCAAAUGGAGACUACAUCAUCUGUUGGAAGAGAAGUGGCAUGAGACCCGACAGAAGAAAUCUGCUAUCAACUAUUCCAUUGACCUAUUCCGGAAGCUGAAGUGAUAUUUAAUCCCUAUGACUUGAAGCACAUGUCCAAAAUAAGUAACAGACACAGAUGUUCACCAUCUUACCAGACUUUUCAUUCUAUAUCUCUUGUGAAGGGAAGGCAUCACAGUGUCUUUAAAUCCAUGCCAUCACAUGGAUCCAACACUGAAAAGAAUCCACAAAGUAUUUAGUCACCUUUGAUUCUAUAAUAUAAUUUGUCUUGAGGUAGUGCUUGUAAAUGGAGCUAAGAAUUGACAUUUGUCUGUUUUAUAAGUACUUUUUCUGCUAGCUGUGAUGAUAAAUACAUCAUUAUCAGUAAUAUUUAUGAAGUGUCCUGUCGUACUAACAGAAAGUUGCACAUACUAAAAUAUAUGUCUGAAUAUUAAAAGACUAUAACUCCUAACUCCUGCUGACAGCCACUAAUGUGCAUUAAUCUUGACAAUGCUAUGUUACCUGAACUCUGUGCUCUUGGAAAACAGCAAAGUUAAGAAAUUCCCCUAGACUGGUGUUCGAAGAAAAAUGGCUUACAUCAAAGAACCAUCCUUCCCAUAGGACUUUCAAAAAACUCCCGUUUACCUAUGACAAGGCUAGUCACAGACCAUCCAAAUUCCUAUCCUUUGCCUCAAAGGGAUUAGCUGAACUGUCUGUACUCACUGACCAAUGUGGACCCAAUACCUGCAAAUUUGACUUGGCUAAAAUAGCUAAAGCUUUUUUUCCUUUCCCCAGGCUCCUUUAAUAUUGACCAGCCCUCAGUCUGAGUCAGCAGUGGGAUAAAGAACUAUCUCCUCUUAAUAGUCACUCUAGGCCAGGCGCGGUGGCUCACCCCUGUAAUCCCAGCACUUUGGGAGGUCGAGGCAGGUGGAUCACGAGGUGAGGAAUUCGAGACGAUCCUGGCUAACACGGUGAAACCCCGUCUCUACUAAAAGAUACAAAAAAAUAAAAAAAUUAAAAAAUAUAAAAAAUUAGCUGGGCGUGGUGACGGGCGCCUGUAAUCGCAGCUAGUAGGAAGGCUGAGACAGGAGAAUAGCGUGAACCUGGGAGGUGGAGCUUGCAGUGAGCCGAGAUCAGGCCACUGCACUCCAGCCUGGACGACAGAGCAAGACGCCAUCUCAAGAAACAAACAAACAAACAAACAAAAAAACAAGUCACUCACUCCAGAGAAUAGGAUGGCCUCAGAAAACAUAUUUCCUGCUUAACAAUCCAAACACACCAUCAGCUCAUCCCAUUUUCUCAUAUCGGGUUCUUACUAGCCUUCUUUAUUCCUCCCUAGAAAAGAAAUUUUAUUUUGGUUGACCUUUGAAACUCUUAUAGAUCUUAUGGUCAGAAGACUCUCCCUACUGCAACAAUCUCCCUCUCUUAUUGCAGUGAUUCUUUUGAAUAAAGUCUUUCCC